CGAAAUGCGAUAAGUAAUGUGAAUUGCAGAAUUCAGUGAAUCAUCGAAUCUUUGAACGCUCCUUGCGCUCCUUGGUAUUCCUUGGAGCAUGCCUGUUUGAGUAUCAUGAAAUCUUCAAAGUAAAUCUUUUGUUAACUCAAUUGGUUUCUACUUUGGUAUUGGAGGUCUUUGCAGCUUCACACCUGCUCCUCUUUGUUCAUUAGCUGGAUCUCAGUGUUAUGCUUGGUUCCACUCGGCGUGAUAAGUUAUCUAUCGCUGAGGACACUGUAAAAGGUGGCCAAGGUAAAUGCAGAUGAACCGCUUCUAAUAGUCCAUUGACUUGGACAAUACUUUUAUGAUCUGAUCUCAAAUCAGGUAGGACUACCCGCUGAACUUAAGC
rnacentral:misc_RNA from 1 species